UACAGAGGAGCCAAGCGUUGUCCGGAUUGACUGGGCGUAAAGCGCACGCAGGCGGAUGCGCGCGUGGGGUGUGAAAUCUGGCCGCUUAACGGCCAGGCGCCAUCCCAUACGGCGCGUCUGGAGUGAUGCAGAGGUCGAUGGAAUUGCCGGUGUAGUGGUGAAAUGCGUAGAGAUCGGCAGGAACACCCAGGGGGAAACCCGGCGACUGGGCAUCGACCGACGCUGAGGUGCGAGAGCGUGGGGAGCGAACCGG
rnacentral:rRNA from 1 species